GCCAACCUCCAGCUGCCCGGCCCAGAGAACUAGGUUUGCAUCUGCGGUGCCUGUGGGGCGUGCACAGAAGGGAGAGGGAUUCUGCAAGACCUAGGAGAAGGAAGUGGUGUGCCACAGCCCCCCACCACCGCCUUACCUGAACGAAAGAGAGGCUCGGAGAGGUUAAUAAGUGGCCCAAGACCACAGAGCCCUGACGUUCUGCUCCUGAGUCAUCCCUUCUCCGGUUCACGGUUCAGGUUCACGGGGGACUCACCCGGCCCAACGCCAAGGUACUGACCACACUGCCAGGCACCACGUCCUGUCCCAGACCUCGUCUGGAGGCCGGGACAGAAGGAGGUGGCUUCCCUGCACCGCCAGCCGCCACGUGGGCUCUGGCCCGCCGCCCCCGCCCCACUCACAUGCACGUAAAGCGCAGCGCGCGAGACCGGGGGCCCACGA